GAUGAAGAACGCAGCGAAAUGCGAUAAGUAAUGUGAAUUGCAGAAUUCAGUGAAUCAUCGAAUCUUUGAACGCACAUUGCGCCCGCCAGUAUUCUGGCGGGCAUGCCUGUCCGAGCGUCAUUUCAACCCUCGAACCCCUCCGGGGGGUCGGCGUUGGGGAUCGGCCCUGCCUCUUGGCGGUGGCCGUCUCCGAAAUACAGUGGCGGUCUCGCCGCAGCCUCUCCUGCGCAGUAGUUUGCAUACUCGCAUCGGGAGCGCGGCGCGUCCACAGCCGUUAAACACCCAACUUCUGAAAUGUUGACCUCGGAUCAGGUAGGAAUACCCGCUGAACUUAAGCAUAUCAAUAAGCGGAGGA
rnacentral:misc_RNA from 1 species